AGAGUUUGAUCCUGGCUCAGAGUGAACGCUGGCGGCAGGCCUAAUACAUGCAAGUCGAACGGCAGCACAGCAGAGCUUGCUCUGUGGGUGGCGAGUGGCGGACGGGUGAGGAAUACAUGGGAAUCUGCCCAGUCGUGGGGGAUAACGUAGGGAAACUUACGCUAAUACCGCAUGCGCCCUUCGGGGGAAAGCCGGGGACCUUCGGGCCUGGCGCGAUUGGAUGAGCCCAUGUCGGAUUAGCUAGUUGGUGGGGUAAAGGCCCACCAAGGCGACGAUCCGUAGCUGGUCUGAGAGGAUGAUCAGCCACACUGGAACUGAGACACGGUCCAGACUCCUACGGGAGGCAGCAGUAGGGAAUAUUGGACAAUGGGCGCAAGCCUGAUCCAGCCAUGCCGCGUGUGUGAAGAAGGCCUUCGGGUUGUAAAGCACUUUUAUCCGGAAAGAAAAGCGCUGGGUUAAUACCCUGGUGUCCUGACGGUACCGGAAGAAUAAGCACCGGCUAACUUCGUGCCAGCAGCCGCGGUAAUACGAAGGGUGCAAGCGUUACUCGGAAUUACUGGGCGUAAAGCGUGCGUAGGUGGUUUGUUAAGUCUGAUGUGAAAGCCCUGGGC
rnacentral:rRNA from 1 species